rnacentral:rRNA from 1 species
AGCAGCCGCGGUAAUUCCAGCUCCAAUAGCGUAUAUUAAAGUUGUUGCAGUUAAAAAGCUCGUAGUUGAAUUUCGGGGUCAGUAGGUUGGUCGUGCCACUGGUAUGCACUGGCCUCACUGAUUCCUCCUUCUUGUAGAACCGUAAUGCCAUUAGUUUGGUGUUGCGGGGAAACAGGACUGUUACUUUGAAAAAAUUAGAGUGUUUAAAGCAGGCUAACGCCUGAAUACAUUAGCAUGGAAUAAUGAAAUAGGACGUUCGAUCCUAUUUUGUUGGUUUCUAGGAUUGACGUAAUGAUUAAUAGGGAUAGUUGGGGGCAUUAGUAUUCAAUUGUCAGAGGUGAAAUUCUUGGAUUUAUUGAAGACUAACUACUGCGAAAGCAUUUGCCAAGGAUGUUUUCAUUAAUCAAGAACGAAAGUUAGGGGAUCGAAGACGAUCAGAUACCGUCGUAGUCUUAACCAUAAACUAUGCCGACUAGGGAUCGGAUGAUGUAAUUUUUAAUGACUCAUUCGGCGCCUUACG